AUUGAACGCUGGCGGCAGGCCUAACACAUGCAAGUCGAACGGUAACAGGAAGAAGCUUGCUUCUUUGCUGACGAGUGGCGGACGGGUGAGUAAUGUCUGGGAAACUGCCUGAUGGAGGGGGAUAACUACUGGAAACGGUAGCUAAUACCGCAUAACGUCGCAAGACUAAAGAGGGGGACAUUGGGGCCUCUGGCGAUCGGGUGUGCCCAGAUGGGAUUAGCUAGUAGGUGGGGUAACGGCUCACCUAGGCGACGAUCCCUAGCUGGUCUGAGAGGAUGACCAGCCACACUGGAACUGGGACACGGUCCAGACUCCUACGGGAGGCAGCAGUGGGGAAUAUUGCACAAUAGGCGCAAGCCUGAUGCAGCCAUGCCGCGUGUAUGAAAAAGGCCUUCGGGUUGUAAAGUACUUUCAGCGGGGAGGAAGGGAGUAAAGUUAAUACCUUUGCUCAUUGACGUUACCCGCAGAAGAAGCACCGGCUAACUCCGUG
rnacentral:rRNA from 1 species